rnacentral:rRNA from 1 species
ACCUUUUGUAUAAUGGGUCAGCGACUUAUAUUCUGUAGCAAGGUUAACCGAAUAGGGGAGCCGAAGGGAAACCGAGUCUUAACUGGGCGUUAAGUUGCAGGGUAUAGACCCGAAACCCGGUGAUCUAGCCAUGGGCAGGUUGAAGGUUGGGUAACACUAACUGGAGGACCGAACCGACUAAUGUUGAAAAAUUAGCGGAUGACUUGUGGCUGGGGGUGAAAGGCCAAUCAAACCGGGAGAUAGCUGGUUCUCCCCGAAAGCUAUUUAGGUAGCGCCUCGUGAAUUCAUCUCCGGGGGUAGAGCACUGUUUCGGCAAGGGGGUCAUCCCGACUUACCAACCCGAUGCAAACUGCGAAUACCGGAGAAUGUUAUCACGGGAGACACACGGCGGGUGCUAACGUCCGUCGUGAAGAGGGAAACAACCCAGACCGCCAGCUAAGGUCCCAAAGUCAUGGUUAAGUGGGAAACGAUGUGGGAAGGCCCAGACAGCCAGGAUGUUGGCUUAGAAGCAGCCAUCAUUUAAAGAAAGCGUAAUAGCUCACUGGUCGAGUCGGCCUGCGCGGAAGAUGUAACGGGGCUAAACCAUGCACCGAAGCUGCGGCAGCGACACUAUGUGUUGUUGGGUA